ACGGCUCAGUAAACACGUAGUCAACCUGCCCUGGAGACAAGGACAACCCCGGGAAACUGGGAUUAAUCCUUGAUAGGUCAUCUCAUCUGGAAGGAGAGAUGGCUUAAAGGGGUACGCGGGCUUCUUCCGCGAAUUCGCUCCAGGAUGGGACUGCGUCCGAUCAGGCUGUUGGCGGGGUAAUGGCCCACCAAACCUGUAACCGGUACGGGCCUUGAGAGAGGUGGCCCGGAGAUGGACACUGAGAGAAGGGUCCAGGUCCUACGGGGCGCAGCAGGCGCGAAACCUUCGCAAUGCGCGAAAGCGUGACGAGGUUAAUCCGAGUGACUUCCGCUGAGGAGGUCUUUUGUCAGCUGUAAAUAGGCGGGCGAAUAAGGGGAGGGCAAGCCUGGUGUCAGCCGCCGCGGUAAUACCAGCUCCUCGAGUGGUCGGGGCGAUUAUUGGGCCUAAAGCAUCCGUAGCCGGUUCCGUAGGUCCUCUGUUAAAUCCAACUGCUUAACAGUUGACCUGCAGAGGAUACCGCGGGACUAGGAGGCGGGAGAGGCGGACGGUACUCCGCGUGUAGGGGUAAAAUCCUUUGAUCCGCGGAAGACCACCAGUGGCGAAGGCGGUCCGCCAGAACGCGCUCGACGGUGAGGGAUGAAAGCUGGGGGAGCGAACCGGAUUAGAUACCCGGGUAGUCCCAGCCGUAAACGAUGCUAGCUAGAUGAUUCAUUGCAAGUCGCGAAUGAAGUGUCGCAGGGAAGCCGUUAAGCUAGCCGCCUGGGGAGUACGGGUCGCAAGACUGAAACUUAAAGGAAUUGGCGGGGGAG
rnacentral:rRNA from 1 species